rnacentral:tRNA from 2 species
GCGGAGAUCGCAUAGCUUGGUAGUGCGCCGGAUUUGAAAUCCGGUGGUUUCGGCCACGGGGGUUCAAAUCCCUCUCUUCGCGCCA